ACAGCUACUCACACGAGCCACUGACGUGCCCGAGCUGGUCAGAUCUCGCAAUCUAAGCAGAUCCCGGCCUGGUUGGUACUCGUAUGGGAAGACUGCCGUGGAAAAACCAGGUGUUGUCGGUG
rnacentral:rRNA from 1 species